UACGUAGGGUGCAAGCGUUGUCCGGAAUUAUUGGGCGUAAAGAGCUCGUAGGCGGUCUGUCGCGUCUGCUGUGAAAACUCAGGGCUUAACCCUGAGCUUGCAGUGGGUACGGGCAGACUAGAGUGCGGUAGGGGAGACUGGAAUUCCUGGUGUAGCGGUGAAAUGCGCAGAUAUCAGGAGGAACACCGGUGGCGAAGGCGGGUUGCUGGGCCGACACUGACGCUGAGGCGCGAAAGCCAGGGGAGCGAACGGG
rnacentral:rRNA from 1 species